rnacentral:rRNA from 1 species
UACAGAGGGUGCAAGCGUUGUUCGGAAUUACUGGGCGUAAAGCGCGUGUAGGCGGUUUGAUAAGUCGGACGUGAAAUCCCUUGGCUUAACCAAGGACCUGCGCUCGAUACUGUCAGACUUGAGUCUCGGAGGGGGUGGCGGAAUUCCCGGUGUAGAGGUGAAAUUCGUAGAUAUCGGGAGGAACACCUGUGGCGAAGGCGGCCACCUGGAAGACGACUGACGCUGAGACGCGAAAGCGUGGGUAGCAAACAGG